rnacentral:lncRNA from 1 species
UGAAGCUCAGAGUGUGCAGUUCUGCAGCCAUGGAGAAUGAGGUGCAGUAACCAGCAAUCAGAUGUGAUUGCACAAAAACACAAAUAGCAGCUUGUUCCUGAGGCUUGGCUCUUCUCUUACACCAUCACACUGUGCUGGACUUCAUGAACAAAGCACUUGAGGGAGAUCUGACAUAAAAGGAUAUUUCUUACAAGUGGUGACCAACUUAGGGCCAAAAGUGAAAUUUAUCCAUAAAUUGGAGGGACAAACAAUAGGAUGUAGUGUCUGAUAAACCAGCUGGCUGCCAUUAUAGGUGAAAUUUCAUUAAAAGGUAUAAAGCAAAGCUCAUUACCUGUUCCCCAGGCAGAGCACAGGCACAGCUGCUACAGCAGCACAGAAGUGAAUAACAACCCAGAGGAGAAGCCUGCUGUUUGCACACAGGGCUGGGAGCCCUUCACAACUGGGAACUGCACAGCACGGGUUUAGGCAAUGGAAGAGAGGAAAUAAAGCCAAUGGAGAAUUAAGGAUGUCUCAUCCUUUGAAGAUCUGAAGAAAAUGUUAAAGAUCUCUAACAGCAAAAACACUGAUCUUCAGAAGCAGCUUGAGAAAUGCUUUAUGAAGACACCACCUCAGUUUGGUCCUUUGGGAUUGUCUGGAGCCUCUUUGCUUUUAUCAGCCAGUUACUGUCACUAGGAGAGCAACUUUACCCUUGAACACUUUUGCAAACAAAGUGUGCUGAAGUGUGGCUGUACCACAGCUGCAGCACGGCUUGGGGUGUGCAGCCA